GACUCGGUGGCGUAAUUGGUAGCGCUUCAGAUUCCAAUGACUUGGGAUAUAAACACGUAUUCCUGAAGGUUGUCCGUUCGAGUCGGGCCGGGGUCG